rnacentral:rRNA from 1 species
GUCCACACGGUAAACGAUGGAUACUCGCUGUUGGCGAUAUACGGUCAGCGGCUUAGCGAAAGCGUUAAGUAUCCCACCUGGGGGAGUACGCCGGCAACGGUGAAAACUCAAAAGGAAUUGACGGGGGCCCGCACAAGCGGAGGAACAUGUGGUUUAAUUCGAUGAUACGCGAGGAACCUUACCCGGGCUUAAAUUGCAAAGGAAUGAUCUGGAAACAGGUCAGUCUUCGGACCUUUGUGAAGGUGCUGCAUGGUUGUCGU